UGGUGGCAGUAUGACAGUGUUUGUCAAACAGGCUAUUCUGAAGUAUUCUUUACUGUUUACACAUUAAUAUUCUCAUUUCCCUUACAGGGGACUAGGAAACAGUUACCUUGGCCAAGAACUACACAAAACGUUGGCUGUCUUCUCACUGCUUAUCCCCUUGUGAUACCAGUAGAGGUACUUGUGAGCUACCUUGUGAUCCUGGAUGCUGGAUGCUGGUACUGUGGACCAAGUCAGAGUUCUCCAGAGAACCACGUUGGACAGGGCCUCACCUCUCCUGGAUCCCGUAACCAACUCCCUUUGCUUGUUGUAAGUUAACUCAAAAUAAACCCUUUGGACUGUCAGAUAAACUA